GUGAUAUGUAGGGUGGAACAUAGUAAUGAGGUGGUGAUAUGUAGGGUGGAACAUAGUAAUGAGGUGGUGAUAUGUAGGGUGGAACAUAGUAAUGAGGUGGUGAUAUGUAGGGUGGAACAUAGUAAUGAGGUGGUGAUAUGUAGGGUGGAACAUAGUAAUGAGGUGGUGAUAUGUAGGGUGGAACAUAGUAAUGAGGUGGUGAUAUGUAGGGUGGAACAUAGUAAUGAUGUGGUGAUAUGUAGGGUGGAACAUAGUAAUGAGGUGGUGAUAUGUAGGGUGGAACAUAGUAAUGAUGUGGUGAUAUGUAGGGUGGAACAUAGUAAUGAGGUGGUGAUAUGUAGGGUGGAACAUAGUAAUGAGGUGGUGAUAUGUAGGGUGGAACAUAGUAAUGAGGUGGUGAUAUGUAGGGUGGAACAUAGUAAUGAGGUGGUGAUAUGUAGGGUGGAACAUAGUAAUGAGGUGGUGAUAUGUAGGGUGGAACAUAGUAAUGAUGUGGUGAUAUGUAGGGUGGAACAUAGUAAUGAUGUGGUGAUAUGUAGGGUGGAACAUAGUAAUGAGGUGGUGAUAUGUAGGGUGGAACAUAGUAAUGAGGUGGUGAUAUGUAGGGUGGAACAUAGUAAUGAUGUGGUGAUAUGGCCUAGUGUGACAGUGUUUGAGACACUCUCCCAUUUCUCCCAGUCCUUAGAGGACCAGUGCCAUCAUGUCUGUUCCUGGUAAUGUUCUCCUGCUGUCUGUUCCUGGUAAUGUUCUCCUGCUGUCUGUUCCUGGUAAUGUUCUCCUGCUGUCUGUUCCUGGUAAUGUUCUCCUGCUGUCUGAGUGUUCCUGAGUGACAUUAAUCAGUUUGGAUCUAAACCAGAUGUCUCUCUGAUAUCUUCCAGAGUGUUCCUGAGUGACAUUAAUCAGUUUGGAUCUAAACCAGAUGUCUCUCUGAUUUCUUUCAGAGUGUUCCUGAGGGCCAUUAAUCAGUUUGGAUCUAAACCAGAUGUCUCUCUGAUUUCUUUCAGAGUGUUCCUGUGGGCCAUUAAUCAGUUUGGAUCUAAACCAGAUGUCUCUGUGAUUUAUUUCAGUGUUCCUGAGGGCCAUUAAUCAGUUUGGAUCUAAACCAGAUGUCUCUGUGAUUUAUUUCAGAGUGUUCCUGAGGGCCAUUAAUCAGUUUGGAUCUAAACCAGAUGUCUCUGUGAUUUAUUUCAGAGUGUUCCUGAGGGCCAUUAAUCAGUUUGGAUCUAAACCAGAUGUCUCUGUGAUUUAUUUCAGAGUGUUCCUGAGGGCCAUUAAUCAGUUUGGAUCUAAACCAGAUGUCUCUGUGAUUUAUUUCAGAGUGUUCCUGAGGGCCAUUAAUCAGUUUGGAUCUAAACCAGAUGUCUCUGUGAUUUAUUUCAGAGUGUUCCUGAGGGCCAUUAAUAAGUUUGGAUCUAAACCAGAUGUCUCUGUGAUUUAUUUCAGAGUGUUCCUGAGGGCCAUUAAUCAGUAUGCAGCCGUGUUAAACAAGAAGUUCCUGGAUCAGACCAACUUUGAGCUUCAGCUGUGGAACAACUACUUCCACCUCGCCGUGGCGUAUCUUACCCAGGAGUCCUUGCAGCUUGAGAACUUCUCCAGCGACAAACGAUCCAAGAUCUUCCAGAAGUGAGUUACAUUACCCCCAUCACACACUCCCCAGAGGACAUUACCCCCAUCACA